AAUCAACGCUGGCGGCGUGCCUAACACAUGCAAGUCGAACGAGAAAGGGGAGCAAUUCCUGAGUACAGUGGCGACCGGGUGAGUAACACGUGACUACCUACCCUUGAGUGGGGGAUAACCUCGGGAAACCGAGGCUAAUACCGCAUAAUAUCGCAAGAUCAAAGGAGCAAUCCGCUCUUGGAGGGGGUCGCGGCUGAUUAGCUAGUUGGUAGGGUAAUGGCCUACCAAGGCGAAGAUCGGUAUCCGGCCUGAGAGGGCGCACGGACACACUGGAACUGAAACACGGUCCAGACUCCUACGGGAGGCAGCAGUGGGAAUUUUGCGCAAUGGGGGAAACCCUGACGCAGCAACGCCGCGUGGAGGAUGAAGCU
rnacentral:rRNA from 1 species